CGGCUGUGAUGAGAAUCUAGAUUAGUCAUGCACCACUCUGAGUAUGCAAGUGUGAUGAUAAGUUAUCAUACCCAUGCGAUUCUGAGCCU
rfam:Genlisea aurea contig_3799, whole genome shotgun sequence.